rnacentral:rRNA from 1 species
CCUACGGGUGGCAGCAGUGAGGAAUAUUGGUCAAUGGCCGAGAGGCUGAACCAGCCAAGUCGCGUGAGGGAAGACGGCCCUACGGGUUGUAAACCUCUUUUGUCGGGGAGCAAAGCGAACCACGUGUGGUUCAUUGAGAGUACCCGAAGAAAAAGCAUCGGCAAACUCAGUGCCAGCAGCCAGGGUAAGACGGGGGAUGCGAGCGUUAUCCGGAUUUAUUUGGUUAAAAGGGUGCGCAGGCGGAGGGGCAAGUCAGCGGUAAAAUUGCGGGGCUCAACCCCGUACUGCCGUUGAAACUGCAUCCCUUGAGUGCGCGAGAAGUAUGCGGAAUGCGAGGUGUAGGGGUGAAAUGCAUAGAUAUCACGCAGAACUCCGAUUGCGAAGGCAGCAUACCGGCGCGCAACUGACGCUCAUGCACGAAAGCGUGGGUAUCGAACAGGAUUAGAUACCCUUGUAGUC